UUCCCUAUGUGCGAGCACACUGCUCGCUUGCGCUUAUGCACGUGCAUAUACAUAUACUUAUAUCUUAUAUACAUUUAGUUGUGGCUUAUGUGUUGGUAGCAAACUGUCAAGGCAAAAGCAGGAACUUUCCUACCAUUUGGAGGGGGAAGCAAAUUGUGCCCUGGAAUGGACUUGGCAAAGCUUGAAAUGUCCAUUUUUCUCCAUCAUUUUGUACUUCACUACGAGUGAGUUGUUCUUAUUCUUUAAGCCUGCUUUUACCCCCCCCCCCUAAAUACCAAAACUUAGAGCAUAAAAUUAAAAUGUGAAUGAAUUUAUGAUAUAUUGUUUUUAUUAUAAUGAUUUUUUUUUUUUUUGGGUGCAGUAUGGAAAGGCUCAACCCAAAUAGCCCAAUGGUGUACCUACCAGGACCAAGGCCUUCUGACCAUUGCCUUGUAAACUUCAAAAGAAAUCAUUAGACGAUGGAUAUAUUUGCAGCUUUUUGGCCCAUUUGGGAUACCAUCAAUGAUCAUGGUUAAUUGAGUUUGAAAAGAAAUAGAUUAUGGGUAUAUUUGCAUGUGAUAUUGCUUAGAGAAACUUCUUUCAUCAUCUUGAUGAAAUAAGCUUCUUUUUCACCUCUUUAAUUUCUCAAACGAGGAUUAAGAUGGUUCAAUAGAUUUUAUUUAACUAACAACAAUGGAGCCAUCCCUUUUCUGACCGACAAACGACUCCAACAUCACUAACGAAAAUGCAAUCAAUUAAUGCGUACCUGGAUCGGCAAGUGUCUCGCUCUAGAUGUUGCAGCUAGGCUUUCACUGACUGAGGACUCAAGGACAAUCUGGGCAAACAUUCGUGAGAUGUACGAACUCGAGGCCACUGAAGAGUGGCUCGAGGGACCAGAGACUACUCUUCAGCAGUGUAGAGCAAUGAAAGAGAGGGAGAAAGUGACUUGUUUUUUGUUGAUUCUAAACGAAACGUACUCACCCUUUCGAUUGGAGAUCUUGGCGAUGAAUCCGAUGUCAUCACUAGGCCGGAUCUACCAAACAGCCGUCCAAGAGGAAAGCCAGCGAUUGGCCGUGGUCAAGCAUGGAAGAACGAGAGAAGGUAUCACCCUUGCUGCCUUUUCGGUGAGCCCAGUUUCUAUUGAGUCACCGCACGGCAUCCCUGGAGGUUGGGAAACCAUUGGAGUGAACGAAGCUCUCGGGCAAAGGGGAAACUUGUGAGGAGCUACUACUGCU
rnacentral:lncRNA from 1 species